GCAUCAUUUGGUAAAGGCUGGGCUGAGAGGAUAUCCUUGUUCCAUGGACCCAGUAGAUAGGCAGCUUCCUGAUUCCAGGAACAACUUGUCUGUUUUUCAGUCUAUCG
rnacentral:miRNA from 1 species